CCCGGCUCUGCUGUUUGCAUGUGGUACAGCCCUGGUGAUCAGAGCAUGAACAGAGCAGGCUGUGUAAUUACAUGUCUCUAGGAGGGGUAUUAGGUCCACAGAGAGCUGAGUCCAUUUGGGGAGGAGGAGAAAUAGAUUUUAUUUUUAUUUUUUUGGUAAGGUGAAAAGGGUCAGUGCAUAACCCAGUUCUCAUUCGAAUAUGAUAAAGGUAAUUGUUGCUCUCAAGUGAAUGCCUGGCGCUUCCUGGUUCUACUCCUCUCGUUCAUUCCUCAUGUCUGUAUUAUGCAGAUGUCUGCUUUCCAAAAAGAGGAGCAGGUUUUUAUGAGAAGAGAGAAGAAAACUGACCCCUUUGGAAGCGUUUGCUGUAGGUGCUGCUGGAUGAUUUGCUGUGACACAGGGCCGAAGACUAACCAAAUCCGAGGGAGGAUUUGUAUAUAGGAAGAGAAGGUUAUGGCUGUGCAGCGUGCUCCAGAAUCUGCUCUUAGCUUGUUGAUGUUCCCUGAACUCUGGCUAUGACAGUCUGAUUUCCAAAGUCACUCUACAUAUAUUUCUCAAUCCCAUGAAAAGCUUUUACUCUGAUUGGCUACUGCUAUCAAUCAAUCACAGGACAGAGAAUUGCAAAAUUUCUGUAUGGUUACUUCUCAAUAAAUACAGUUAAUGUGAAAGUCUCUGUAAUUAGCUACUAUCUUUCAUCUACUUAUAUUGGCUUUAGGGUGAAUAAAAAUGUGCAUUUAAAACAGAUUUUUAAAAUGUAAAUCAGAUUAUUUUGAUUGUAUUAUGUAAAUGGCAAUAUGUUUUCUUUUAAAAAACAAUUAAAAUGAAAUGUGAAUGUAAUACAAAAUAUGUUAAGGCCAAAUUUUAUUAUAAUCUCUUAAAACACUUAUAUAAAAAUAAUUCUGCAUCCAUAAGACUCAGUCAAGAUCUUUGUGUUAAAGGCUGCUUUUCUCUAUAAAGAAAGGGAGGGAAAAUAUCUGUCCUUUGAAAUCAAGCUUUAUAAACGUGGCACAAUAGGUCCUGCCCUUUAUUAAGGGCUUGUUUUGUUGAAUAAAAAUUAAUUUGAUAUGCUGUUUGUGCGUUUAAUUAAAAUUCCAGUUACUGUCCUAACAAUCCUAAAGCAGCUUGACACAAAUCAUGAGCAAAAAGUUAAUUAUCCAGGAUAUGUCUACACUACAGAGUUUUUCCGGGAUACUGGA